rnacentral:rRNA from 1 species
UACGAAGGGGGCUAGCGUUGCUCGGAAUUACUGGGCGUAAAGGGCGCGUAGGCGGGUCGUUAAGUUGGGGGUGAAAGCCCAGGGCUCAACCCUGGAAUUGCCUUCAAUACUGGCGACCUUGAGUAUGGCAGAGGUGUGUGGAACUCCGAGUGUAGAGGUGAAAUUCGUAGAUAUUCGGAAGAACACCAGUGGCGAAGGCGACUUACUGGACACAUAUUGACGCUGAGGUGCGAAAGCGUGGGGAGCAAACAGG